UACGUAGGGUGCGAGCGUUGUCCGGAAUUACUGGGCGUAAAGAGCUCGUAGGUGGUUUGUCGCGUUGUUCGUGAAAACUCACAGCUUAACUGUGGGCGUGCGGGCGAUACGGGCAGACUGGAGUACUGCAGGGGAGACUGGAAUUCCUGGUGUAGCGGUGAAAUGCGCAGAUAUCAGGAGGAACACCGGUGGCGAAGGCGGGUCUCUGGGCCGAUACUGACGCUGGAGGAAGCGAAAGCGUGGGGGAGCAAACAGG
rnacentral:rRNA from 1 species